GACGAACGCUGGCGGCGUGCUUAACACAUGCAAGUCGAACGGAAAGGCCCUGCUUGCAGGGUACUCGAGUGGCGAACGGGUGAGUAACACGUGGGUGAUCUGCCCUGCACUUCGGGAUAAGCCUGGGAAACUGGGUCUAAUACCGGAUAGGAGCCAUUUUUAGUGUGAUGGUUGGAAAGUUUUUUCGGUGUAGGAUGAGCUCGCGGCCUAUCAGCUUGUUGGUGGGGUAAUGGCCUACCAAGGCGGCGACGGGUAGCCGGCCUGAGAGGGUGGACGGCCACAUUGGGACUGAGAUACGGCCCAGACUCCUACGGGAGGCAGCAGUGGGGAAUAUUGCACAAUCGGCGCAAGCCUGAUGCAGCGACGCCGCGUGGGGGAUGACGGCCUUCGGGUUGUAAACUCCUUUCGCUAGGGACGAAGCUUUUUGUGACGGUACCUAGAUAAGAAGCACCGGCUAACUACGUG
rnacentral:rRNA from 1 species